rnacentral:lncRNA from 1 species
ACGGGGAGCCCAAUGUGAAGUGGAGCUUUAGGAACCAAGAGGAGCCUAGAACAAGGUAGAGCUCUAGGUGGAAGUGGAUCGGACACUAGAUGGAAGACUCGAAAGGAUGAGAGGUGAUGUCAUAGAGUGAAGUUCCUAUUGCUACAGGAGAUUUUUUCAAGCAGAUCUUUGAUCAAAGUGAACACAGCCCAUUAUGAAGGUGGGAUCAAGCGA